AUGCGACCAACCUUAUAUCAGGACUUCAUAAUAUCUUGCAUGUGGGUGACAUCAUAGCCUAGCAUUUGUCGGUGAAGCAGUACGAUCAGUAAAUCACCAAUGCUGACCAGUAUACACCUGCGAUUGCCAUUUCUGGAAUUCCCCGCCGUGUGCUCAGAAGGUUAUGGAAACGAACACAUUGUUAGUUGUGCUCCAGGUGCGUUGAGGUCUUACAAUAGCACCAGAGCGCCCCCUGGUGGCGGACGAUAAAGACACAAGUCUGUUAAUAAACGAGACAAAAGCAGGUAGAUUAAACAUAACCUGGGCACAAUUCAAGACAGUUCUUUCAGAAUUUUAAAUUACACAGCGCAUGCGAAGACGGAUUAAUUCACACAGGGCGGCGCCCUCUAGUGGAACAUGUGAAGAAUGCAUGUCCGAAGGAGUUUAAGAAAACGGCGCUGUAUCUUCAGCAGAGGUUUUUGAAGGGCAGUUCUGCUGCAGAAUUUCCACUGGCAGGAUCUCAGUGCCCCCGGAGAGCACUGCAGAGGUAUCCCGAUUCUUCAUUACAGCUGCCGUCCCUGAACAGACUCAGAAAGAAAGCCAGCGGCCAAUUCCAGGCUUCUGUAAACUGCCUCUCACAGCUCACGAGUCAUUUAAAAAAGAAUCUGGACUGAGAAGAAUGUACUUUUUAUUUUUUCCUGCACAUCUUUUUAAUGACAGGCUUUUUCUUUUUUUUUUUAAUGCACAUAGGUGAAAAAAUGUUAUGUUUUAUAAUUUAUUUUAUCAAGGGGCAGAGCAGUAAAAUAGAAAAUAAUUGU